GCAUUGAGUGCUGCUUCCUAUGGGUCCAUUCCUGACAGCCAGCUUGUUUUAAGGAUGAAAGGACAAAUCAGAAGGCACCUAUCACAAGUCUGUGAGCAGAGAAACAAAGGCCCCCGCUGCCGCGGACACCCUCCCACUAACUUGGGUCUUAAUGGAGAGCUUGUCUAUUUAACUUUCCCCAUUAUAGGAAGCUGUAAUUCUGCUCUAUUAGCCCACCCUCACCAUUUUGGCCUGACAGACGCAAGCUGCAUCCAGAAUGCCAUAAAUCUGCGGGGAGAAGGAGCCUCUUCUCCCCUCCCAUGCUUGUCCUUCGGGAUUCGGUUUGAUUUGUCAAACAAGACAAAACCAGAAAGAGAGAAACAGGGGAGCCGAGGGCGUCUCGGGUCCCCUUCCGCUUCAGACUGACCCAGAUGCUAAAUGUGUCUUUCCCCUGAUGAGCUUUGGGGGGCUUCCCUGCCCCACAACAAGAAC
ensembl:lncRNA